UCCGCUCCGUCAAGCGCUCCUGCUGCUCAGGCGUGGAUCAGCGAGGAUGCGUCGACUCCACCUGGGAUCGGCCCAGUUUUAUUUUUCGCAGCAGUACUGGAAAAACAACCAAAGGCUUUCAGGGACUAAACCUCAUUGAACAUGUGUGGCACCUCUCAUGUGUCAUUAAUGACUGCAGCAUGUAAACUAACAUGUUCUCCUGGCUUUCUGAAGAUCAUCCAACUUUGUCUUUGGACAUUGCUUCCUUUUUUCACUUGUUUUUAGUCCAGUCAUUUAUUA